rnacentral:rRNA from 1 species
AUUUGAAAGCUGGCGUCUUCGACGUCCGCGUUGUAAUUUGUAGAGGAUGCUUCGGCGAGGACUCCUGCCUAAGUUCCCUGGAAUGGGACGUCACAGAGGGUGAGAAUCCCGUAUGUGGCGGGCGGUCCAAGCCAUGUGAAGCUCCUUCGACGAGUCGAGUUGUUUGGGAAUGCAGCUCUAAAUGGGAGGUAAAUUUCUUCUAAAGCUAAAUACCGGCCAGAGACCGAUAGCGCACAAGUAGAGUGAUCGAAAGAUGAAAAGCACUUUGGAAAGAGAGUUAAAAAGUACGUGAAAUUGUUGAAAGGGAAGCGCUUGCAACCAGACUCGUUCGCAGUUGCUCAGCCCGCCUCUUGGCGGGUGUACUCUUCUGCGGUCGGGCCAGCAUCAGUUCGGGCGGCUGGAUAAAGGUGUCGGGAAUGUAGCACCCUUCGGGGUGUGUUAUAGCCCGGCGCGGAAUGCAGCCAGCCU